rnacentral:rRNA from 1 species
AUUGAACGCUGGCGGCAGGCCUAACACAUGCAAGUCGAACGGAGUGGCGGACGGGUGAGUAAUGUCUGUGAAACUGCCCGAUGGAGGGGGAUACCUACUGGAAACGGUAGCUAAUAACGCAUACCCUCGGAUGUGCCCCGAUGGGAUUAGCUUGUAGGUGAGGUAACGGCCUACCAAGGCGACGCUCCGUAACUGGUCUGAGAGGAUGAUCAGUCACACUGGAACUGAGACACGGUCCAGACUCCUACGGGAGGCAGCAGUGGGGAAUAUUGGACAAUGGGCGAAAGCCUGAUCCAGCCAUGCCGCGUGUGUGAAGAAGGUCUUCGGAUUGUAAAGCACUUUAAGUUGGGAGGCGUUACCAACAGAAUAAGCACCGGCUAACUUCGUGCCAGCAGCCGCGGUAAUAC